rnacentral:rRNA from 1 species
UACAGAGGUGGCAAGCGUUGUUCGGAAUUACUGGGCGUAAAGGGCGCGUAGGUGGCCUUCUUAGUCAGACGUGAAAUCCCCGGGCUUAACUCGGGAACUGCGUCUGAUACUGGAAGGCUCGAGUUCGGGAGAGGAAUGUGGAAUUCCAGGUGUAGCGGUGAAAUGCGUAGAUAUCUGGAGGAACACCGGUGGCGAAAGGCGGCAUUCUGGACCGGUAUUGACGCUGAGGCGCGAAAGCCAGGGGAGCAAACGGG